AUUAGAAGGGUAUUUCACAGGCAAGGUUGCAGAUCCUUCUGUUUCUGCAGCAUAGUUCCUAUUUUCUUCUUCCUCAUUAUUCAAUAUCUGAUAAGCAGUGGGGUUUGGCUCAUAUACCUGUACAUUCAAAUUGAAGGAGAUGGAGAUCCAGGUCUAGGAACGAACAAUGAUAGCUAUUCUGGUGUAGGAGCACGACAACGCCAAGAGGUUCCUAUGGUGCAGUUGGGGUGCCUGCAUACACUUUGAUGCUCAAGUCAGUUGAUGUCAAGGUAGAAUGAGAAUGAAAUAGAGUUAGUUACCUUACUUGUGUUUGGUGCAUUUUAUACCAUGUUUUUGGUGGAAAAUUAUGUUAUCCAACUAUCAUCAAAGUGUCACGCGUUCAAAGUGACCAUCUUCUUGGUUCAGGUGGAGAGAUCAUCACCUCUACUCGAGUAUUGAGGUUCUCGAGAUGGGUAAAUAGAAUGAGGUUAGAGGCUCAACUUUCAUGACCCAAUUUAUGUGAUCAUCCCGGUUCACAUGAUGUCGAUAUCUCACUUCAAGAACAAUUGCCUCUAUGUUGGUGACUUCUUCGUAAAAAUUGUUGACUUAUGCAUUAUGUUGGAACAAUUUGAUUAUCUUGCUUAACCUGGUUCGCGGUGUACCAAGGUCCUACCUCCAUAACAAUUGUCCCUCCUAAGUCAAUGGCUUCUUUGUAGAAGUUGUUGCUUGUGUGUUAUGUUAGAACAACUUGAUUAACUUAACUCGUACUGAGUGUACCAAGGUCCUACCUCCAUAACAACAUCUUUUCUUGAUAGUGUUUAGUUUUUUUAUGGAAAUCGGAGUUGUAAUGUUAGAUUGUCAAUUGGAGAAGGAAGAAUUAGAUUUGUCCAAGUCGUACCCCUCAAACAUUUCGUAUUGACUUUCAAACAGGGCCUAUGAUAGGAGAAAAGCAGAGAACCGGAAAUGUAUUUUUAGACAAGGGUAUAUUUGAAACAAAAUUAUACAAAAAGGAGGUACGUUUAUUAAGGGAUGCAUA